AUGGAUCCUGUGAUUACUAUAGUUCUGGUGGUGGCAGCAGCAGCAGCGCAAGUUAGUGCCAAGGCCUGUAAUCUCUCUCACAAGAAUGGAACUCAUCACUGCUAUGGGGCUUUGGGAGAGUCUUUGUCCUUACAGCUGGCUGCAGACAGCAGGAAUGAAGAAAUAACAUUGAAAACAUCUUUUACUCGUAUUCUGCACUUCAAAACUGGAGAAGACUGGAGAUCUAAAUUUCAUCAGGAUUAUGUGAAUCGCUCCGAGUUCUUUAAUAAUGGAACAUUCAGACUGGACAGAGUUACAGAAGAAGACUCUGGAGAUUACCAAUUGGAAACAUAUAAUUCAGCAGGAAAAUUGUUGUUCAGAGUCAACAUGCUACUUGAGAUACAAGCCCCGGUGUCAGAGCCAGUGUUGUCUCACCUCUGUCUGCCUCAUGGAGAAACCGUGGUCACAUGCUCCUCAGAGGGAGAUGGUCUUCAGUACAGCUGGACCCUGAAUGGCCAGAAUCUGACCAGGAGUGUAGCCUAUGACCACCACCAGAACAGUGUCAUCAUACUGAAGAGUGAUGUGACAGAAACCCUGACCUGUAUGGUUCAGAAUAAAGUCAGCACCAGCAACUCUACUAUUCAUCUACUGGCCUGUCCAGUUGUCUCUUCCCAGUUUCCUUCAGUAGCUGUGACAGUGUCUGUGGCUCUGACUGUUGGAACUCUCACACUUCUUGCACUGUUUGUUGGUAUUAACCAUCUAUGCAAGAAACAAAGAUCCAGAUUUGAUAAUUCAGAACGCUGUGACGAGGUUGUUGUUUACGCUGAUGUGAAAAUAAAUCAAGCAAGGAAGCAGAGGCCCCCAGACACAGAGACGGUGGUGUAUGGACAGAUCAAAAUGGCUGUAAACCCAGACGUGGCAGGAAGCCCAUAGACUCAAGGGUAGACAUUUUACCACAUGUAGCUUUGUAAAGCAGUAAAAAGACAAGGGAUGAGUAAACAUUAUGUGGAUGCACUGAUUGAGUAGAUGAGACAGACCAUCAAACUUAAAGACUAGUGUCAAAUGAACACGUCAAGAUGACAUCAUGCAUCAUGUAAGGUAUGCUAGAAAGAUGCACGGCAUGUAGUUUUGAGUUUGUUAACAUGAAUUACUGUCUCAUUUUGUAUUGUAUAUUGUACAAUGGUAUAACAAUUUUAAAGUAUUUUGUAACUUUUCUUUAAAACCAUAAUAUCAAUGUUUCUCUAUUUCAAUGUUAGUGAACAAGUGAACGAAUGUGAACAUUUCCUGUAAACUCAGCUGCAAUAUCAUACUGUAAAUGUAAUGCUUUCUUUCUUUUUAGGCAUCCAUGUUGUUGCACCAAUGUCUAUUUGAGAUCAUAUACUCAUUUACAAUUGUUAUAUAAUAUAUUGUUAAUGAGGGGUUUUAAAUUAAUAAAGGCUUUGUACAUCUUUUACAUUGUUUAAAGUAUUCAUGUGUGAUUUCUUACAUAUAUUGUUGCCGUGAAAACAUGAUAUGGAUAACAGAAUAAAAGAUAAUGUAG
rnacentral:lncRNA from 13 species